rnacentral:misc_RNA from 1 species
AAGGAUCAUUAUUGAAAAUAAACCUGAUGGGUUGUUGCUGGCUCUCUAGGGAGCAUGUGCACACCUUGUCAUCUUUAUAUCUCCACCUGUGCAUCUUUUGUAGACCCAGGAUAUCCUUUCCGGGUGUCUAUGUUGAUUCUUCAUUUACCCCAAUGUAUGUCAAUAGAAUGUUGUGAUAAUAAAAUCUAUACAACUUUCAGCAACGGAUCUCUUGGCUCUC